UCAAGAAACUUCCACAAUGGGCGAAAGCCUGAUGGAGCGACGUCGCGUGAUGGACGAAGUGCUUCGGCACGUAAACAUCUUUUAUGUGGGAUGAAAUUAUUGACAGUACCACAUGAAUAAGGGGCUCCUAACUCUGUGCCAGCAGGAGCGGUAAUACAGAGGCCCCAAGCGUUAUCCGGAAUCACUGGGCGUAAAGGGCGCGUAGGCGGCAAUUCAAGUCAUCUGUGAAAUCUCCGGGCUUAACUCGGAACGGUCAGAUGAUACUGCUUUGCUAGAGUGCAGAAGGGGCAAUCGGAAUUCUUGGUGUAGCGGUGAAAUGCGUAGAUAUCAAGAGGAACACCUGAGGUGAAGACGGGUUGCUGGGCUGACACUGACGCUGAGGCGCGAAAGCCAGGGGAGCAAACGGGAUUAGAUACCCGAGUAGUCCCUGAGCGGGCUGGCAAGGCGCAU
rnacentral:rRNA from 1 species